rnacentral:rRNA from 1 species
CCUACGGGUGGCAGCAGUGAGGAAUAUUGGUCAAUGGACGCGAGUCUGAACCAGCCAAGUAGCGUGAAGGAUGACGGUCCUAUGGGUUGUAAACUUCUUUUAUAGGGGAACAAAACACGGCAUGUAUACCCUUCUGUGUGUACCCUAUGAAUAAGCAUCGGCUAACUCCGUGCCAGCAGCCGCGGUAAUACGGAGGAUGCGAGCGUUAUCCGGAUUUAUUGGGUUUAAAGGGUGCGCAGGCGGAUGAUCAAGUCAGCGGUAAAAGUGAGCGGCUCAACCUGUAAGAGGCGGUGAAACCUGUGUGCUUGAGUGAGCGUGAAGGAGGCGGAAAUCGUGGGUGAGGGGGGAAAUGACU